rnacentral:rRNA from 1 species
UUCAAGUUUUGAAUCCUGGCCUCAUAUUGAACGCUGGCGGCAGGCUUAACACAUGCAAGUUCGAACGGUAGCAGGAGAAAAGCUCGCUUUUCUUGCUGAACUAGCGGCGGACGGGUUGAGUAAUCGCUCGGGAAUCUGGCUUAUGGAGGGGGAUAACUACGGGAAACUGUAGCUAAUACCGCGUAGAAUCGGAAGAAGAAAGUCGCGGGACCGCAAGGCCGCAUGCCAUGAGAUGAGCCCAAGUGGGAUUAGGUAGUUUGGUGGGGUAAAGGCCUACCAAGCCUGCGAUCUCUAGCUGGUCUGAGAGGAUGGCCAGCCACACUGGAACUGAGACACGGUCCAGACUCCUACGGGAGGCAGCAGUGGGGAAUAUUGCGCAAUGGGGGGAACCCUGACGCAGCCAUGCCGCGUGAAUGAAGAAGGCCUUCGGGUUGUAAAGUUCUUUCGGUAUUGAGGAAGGGAUGUGUGCUAAUAGUACAUAUCAUUGACGUUAAAUACAGAAGAAGCACCGGCUAACUCCGUGCCAGCAGCCGCGGUAAUACGGAGGGUGCGAGCGUUAAUCGGAAUAACUGGGCGUAAAGGGCACGCAGGCGGUUAUUUAAGUGAGGUGUGAAAGCCCCGGGCUUAACCUGGGAAUUGCAUUUCAGACUGGGUAACUAGAGUACUUUAGGGAGGGGUAGAAUUCCACGUGUAGCGGUGAAAUGCGUAGAGAUGUGGAGGAAUACCGAAGGCGAAGGCAAGCCCCUUGGGAAAUGUACUGACGCUCAUGUGGAAAAGCGUGGGGAGCAAAACAGGAUUAGAUACCCUGGUAGUCCACGCUGUAAACGCUGUCGAUUUGGGGAUUGAGCUUUAAGCUUGGUGCCCGUAGCUAACGUGAUAAAAUCGACCGCCUGGGGAGUACGGCCGCAAAGGUUAAAACUCAAAUGAAAUUGACGGGGGCCCGCACAAGCGGUGGAGCAUGUGGUUUAAAUUCGAUGCAAACGCGAAGAAACCUUACCUACUCUUGACAUCCAUGGAAUCCUGUAGAGAUACGGGAGUGCUCUUUCGGAAACCAUGAGACAGGUGCUGCAUGGCUGUCGUCAGCUCGUGUUGUGAAAUGUUGGGUUAAAGUCCCGCAACGAGCGCAACCCUUAUCCUUUGUUGCCAGCGAUUUGGUUCGGGAAACUCAAAGGAGACUGCCAGUGAUAAACUGGAGGAAGGUGGGGAUGAACGUCGAAGUCAUCAUGGCCCUUACGAGUAGGGCUACGACGACGUGCUACGAUGGCGUAU